UCUUAUGGAAGGUGUAACACUGUGCACCAAGUAUAAAAAGACAUUAUCCAGCACAGGUCACUAGAUGCCAUGCAGCAGAGACGCUCUCAUUGAGUGUGACUUCUUGCUGUCUUCAGAGAGCCAGGGCCACACUAUCAGAACAGUCAACUCCUCACAGAGGCCGGUCAAGUCUCUUCAGGCCCCAACCACAGAAGUAGGGCAUUAGCCAUCUCUGUGAACCCUUAGCUCCUGCAUUCAGUGUUCCGGGUGUUUUUCCUUUCACUGCUGCAGACUCAGCUGGCAAUACCAUCUUCACUUUCAUAAUGGUGAACAGGCAUGCAUGCAGUAUGUGUGGUCACUUUCCAAAUUGCACAACAUGAUCAUAUUUUGUUUAUUUGGUUGGGUUUGCAUUGUGCCUGUUUCAAAAUUCUGGUGUGGUCAUAUAUGCUUUCCCAUCAUGGUGGUUUUCAUCCUUGUUAAUAUGGUUUCUCCAAGUCGAUUUUUUAUUUUUCUUUUUUUUUAAAUAUGACUCUCUUAAACUUCAUUAUUGUUGUUACAAGUGUAGACACGAUACUGAUACAAAAUACAUCUUAUCAUAUAUUUAUCAAUAUCUCAUAAAACAAUUUUAAUAAAAGCAAGCCAAUUUUAUUUAUUAAUGUAUUCAUUUAUCAAUAUUUAUUGAUAACUGGAUGCAUUCAUGUUUAUUAGUAAGAUGUGCUCACGGUGCAGGAUCACUCUGCUGUCCCACCUCGACCGGCAAGGAAGACGCAACACCGUUGAAUCCUUCUCAAUCAGCCUUUAUUGCAGGAACACCUAAUUGAUAGUACGGGGACCCCGGGGAACAAAGGCACUCGCCUUAAAUACAAGACAGGCUGUGGCUGUAAAUUUGUCCACUGGGGAUUGGUGGAGCAUGAAAUACCUAUUUAGCAUGAAUAUCACCCUGGCCUUGUAGGUGCUGGGGGUCUGCCAACACAUGCGCUGUAGGUGUUUACCACAAACGACCACCGGAUGUCGGCGCCAUCUUUAGCCGCUCCCUACAGCUCAGUCUUUCCCUCGGCGUGGGACCAUGGCCUGUGAGCCUCGCCAUCGGCACGCUUCACAUUUUGCUCCAUCUCUUUAUGUGAGACAUGGAUCUAGAAAUGGCCGGAUGUUGGCAUUUUCUUUAGUUGCAUAUAGGGGCUGUCAAAGACUGGUGUUCGCCAUCUUACUUGGGGUGCUGUCAUCUUGGCAUUUGUUGGAUACCUCGAGCAAGAGAAGACCCUGCAGAGCCAUAUAGAGACACCAGAGGGCAGCAGAGACCCUAAGCUGAAAAAGAACCAGACAGGCUUCUGGCUGGGACGUGAACUGCACAAACCAGAGAAACCCGAGAAAGGACCGUGUGCUGACCAGAAACGAUUUUCAACUAGUACAAGAAGGCUGAAGAAAGCUCACAGCCAGAA